CACAUGCAGUCGAACGAGAGAGAGGGAGCUUGCUUCCUCAAUCGAGUGGCGAACGGGUGAGUAACGCGUGAGGAACCUGCCUCAAAGAGGGGGACAACAGUUGGAAACGACUGCUAAUACCGCAUAAGCCCACGGGUCGGCAUCGACCAGGGGGAAAAGGAGCAAUCCGCUUUGAGAUGGCCUCGCGUCCGAUUAGCUAGUUGGUGAGGUAAUGGCCCACCAAGGCAACGAUCGGUAGCCGGACUGAGAGGUUGAACGGCCACAUUGGGACUGAGACACGGCCCAGACUCCUACGGGAGGCAGCAGUGGGGAAUAUUGCACAAUGGGGGAAACCCUGAUGCAGCGACGCCGCGUGGAGGAAGAAGGUCUUCGGAUUGUAAACUCCUGUUGUUGAGGAAGAUAAUGACGGUACUCAACAAGGAAGUGACGGCUAACUACGUGCCAGCAGCCGCGGUAAAACGUAGGUCACAAGCGUUGUCCGGAAUUACUGGGUGUAAAGGGAGCGCAGGCGGGAAGACAAGUUGGAAGUGAAAUCUAUGGGCUCAACCCAUAAACUGCUUUCAAAACUGUUUUUCUUGAGUAGUGCAGAGGUAGGCGGAAUUCCCGGUGUAGCGGUGGAAUGCGUAGAUAUCGGGAGGAACACCAGUGGCGAAGGCGGCCUACUGGGCACCAACUGACGCUGAGGCUCGAAAGUGUGGGUAGCAAACAGGAUUAGAUACCCUGGUAGUCCACACUGUAAACGAUGAUUACUAGGUGUUGGAGGAUUGACCCCUUCAGUGCCGCAGUUAACACAAUAAGUAAUCCACCUGGGGAGUACGACCGCAAGGUUGAAACUCAAAGGAAUUGACGGGGGCCCGCACAAGCAGUGGAGUAUGUGGUUUAAUUCGACGCAACGCGAAGAACCUUACCAAGUCUUGACAUCCUGCGACGAUGCUGGAAACAGUAUUUU
rnacentral:rRNA from 1 species